GCGGGCGUGGCGGAACUGGCAGACGCGCAGGAUUUAGGUUCCUGUGGGGCAACCCGUGGGGGUUCGAGUCCCCCCGCCCGCACCA
rnacentral:tRNA from 1 species